CCUACGGGUGGCAGCAGUAGGGAAUUUUCGUCAAUGGGCGCAAGCCUGAACGAGCAAUGCCGCGUGAACGAGGAAGGUCUUCGGAUCGUAAAGUUCUGUUGAAGGGGAAAAAGAGCGGAGAGAGGAAAUGGUCUCCGAUUGAUAUUACCCUUCGAGGAAGUCACGGCUAACUACGUGCCAGCAGCCGCGGUAAUACGUAGGUGGCGAGCGUUAUCCGGAAUGAUUGGGCGUAAAGGGUGCGUAGGCGGCCUGCUAAGUCUGGAGUGAAAGGUACCGGCUCAACCGGUACAGGCUCUGGAAACUGGCGGGCUGGAGUUGGAUAGAAGUACGCGGAAUGCGCGGUGUAGCGGUGAAAUGCUUAGAUAUCGCGCAGAACCCCGAUUGCGAAGGCAGCGUACCGGCUCCACACUGACGCUGAGGCACGAAAGCGUGGGUAUCGAACAGGAUUAGAUACCCCUGUAGUC
rnacentral:rRNA from 1 species